GGGAAACUGCCUACAAGUCCACUGACCAGUAGGUGCGAGAGUGCUGGCUCACCUCCAUCUGCAGCUGGCAGUUGGCACUGACAACUGUCAACGAGCCUUUAGUCAUGGCAGUGGUACAAUGGGAUUGGCAAGCAGUUGGUGUUCUCCAGCCAAUCAUUGCACUCCAAGUCACAAUGCUUCUUAACUUCACCCUUUCGUCUGGCUGCUGAGUAGCAAAUUAUUCCACAAUGCAAAACCGGUUCAUGACACCACUAUAAAUAUAACAGAUUUGAUCCUUAUCCAGGAAGCACGCUGAGUGCACUGUGAAAUAUUCGGGCUGGGCAGAUUGUGCUGAAUGUGGAGAGCGAAAAGAGCAUCUGUGAGAACAUCUGUAAGGCUGAGAUCAGAAUAUGACGGUGCAUGUUUCAACAGGCUAGCUGAGUUUAUUACAGACUUAGAGACAAACCGUGCAGCAACUACAAAGAAGACACACAGCAGCACUAAGAGCUCUAAUAGCUCCUAGCUGGUUCUAUCAAGAGCGUGUUUAACAGAUCAAGAUGAAAUCUGUGAAAACCUGUGCAUCCCCUGAGGCUGUCAUUCUGAACGUCUGACAAAAAUUUUGACAACUCCUACCAGACUAAAGACAAUUCACUGGAUCGCACACGAUGCCCUUCUAAAAGAUUUGGAUGUACUUACGUUGUCAUCCUCGCUGUAGGAAAAUGGCUCUUUCCACCACCACCGUCAACUCUCCAUACGUUUAAAAACUAAUUUAAGAAAGAAGAGCAAUACUAUGCCUUGGCCCCUAACCCUGCUAAUAGGAUGUAAAGGCAAAGAAUCAUUGUCUUAAAUCUGUCAGAGAAAAAAUAAACUGUCCCAUAGAAAUAGGAAGGAGAAAUAGAAUCACUGUCAGGAAGCUGAAAGGGGAUUUGGAGAGUCAGGUUUCCUUUUCAUGCAUUAACUGUAUGGUCAGAGUGACUAUGGCUAAAGUUUUAUUUGUUCGUAGGUAUUUGAUUUCAGUGGAAGUUAGGAGCUUAAAUACCACUGAAGAUGUAAGCCUCUGACUCUGGGAUUGCUGGACACAUGUGAGGAAUCCUUCUGAAGUCUUAUAAACACACAAUGACAAGACAUUCAGUGGCAGUUGGAAAUCAGCUGUUCACACAAAUAAGGAUCAUUACUUGUGGGAGUAACGGCUGCAGGAUUAGGCCCUGAAUUGGUGACAUAUUGUACAGCUUCAGCCUGAUCCUGUAAUAUAUAUCUGGGGAAUAGGGGAGAUUCCACAUAGAGACAGCUAUGUUCCUAAAGCAGUCCAGCAUUUCUUCUUCACACAAACCUAAUGGUGAUUGCAACUAACCUUCAACACUUCUGUAUAUGGAUUAAGGAUGUGCACCCUAUUUCCUUACAACCACUGACAAAUGCCAAAUGGAUUGAAAUGAACUAAGAUUCUAGUCAGCGCCUCAGCUGGUGGAAACUGGCACAUCUCCAUUGAUGUUAAUGGAGCUAUAUUCCCAGUCGGUAUUUCUUUAAACAUUCCCUGCGAUAGCAACUGAAAUCAUUGUUGAAUCACUCUUCCACAGUGAUAAUAUACAAGUGUCCUGAAGUGUGCCAAAAACUAAAUGUGAUUGUCUCCAAAGUGAGGUCUGGG